rnacentral:rRNA from 1 species
GUGGGGAAUAUUGGACAAUGGGCGCAAGCCUGAUCCAGCCAUGCCGCGUGAGUGAUGAAGGCCUUAGGGUUGUAAAGCUCUUUCACCGGUGAAGAUAAUGACGGUAACCGGAGAAGAAGCCCCGGCUAACUUCGUGCCAGCAGCCGCGGUAAUACGAAGGGGGCUAGCGUUGUUCGGAAUUACUGGGCGUAAAGCGCACGUAGGCUGAUAUUUAAGUCAGGGGUGAAAUCCCGGGGCUCAACCCCGGAACUGCCUUUGAUACUGGGUAUCUUGAGUAUGGAAGAGGUCAGUGGAAUUGCGAGUGUAGAGGUGAAAUUCGUAGAUAUUCGCAGGAACACCAGUGGCGAAGGCGGCUGACUGGUCCAUUACUGACGCUGAGGUGCGAAAGCGUGGGGAGCAAACAGGAUUAGAUACCCUAGUAGUCC